AGAGUUUGAUCCUGGCUCAGAUUGAACGCUGGCGGCAGGCCUAACACAUGCAAGUCGAGCGGUAGCACAAGAGAGCUUGCUCUCUGGGUGACGAGCGGCGGACGGGUGAGUAAUGUCUGGGAAACUGCCUGAUGGAGGGGGAUAACUACUGGAAACGGUAGCUAAUACCGCAUAACGUCUUCGGACCAAAGUGGGGGACCUUCGGGCCUCACGCCAUCAGAUGUGCCCAGAUGGGAUUAGCUAGUAGGUGGGGUAAUGGCUCACCUAGGCGACGAUCCCUAGCUGGUCUGAGAGGAUGACCAGCCACACUGGAACUGAGACACGGUCCAGACUCCUACGGGAGGCAGCAGUGGGGAAUAUUGCACAAUGGGCGCAAGCCUGAUGCAGCCAUGCCGCGUGUGUGAAGAAGGCCUUCGGGUUGUAAAGCACUUUCAGCGAGGAGGAAGGGUAGUGUGUUAAUAGCACAUUGCAUUGACGUUACUCGCAGAAGAAGCACCGGCUAACUCCGUGCCAGCAGCCGCGGUAAUACGGAGGGUGCAAGCGUUAAUCGGAAUUACUGGGCGUAAAGCGCACGCAGGCGGUUUGUUAAGUCAGAUGUGAAAUCCCCGCGCUUAACGUGGGAACUGCAUUUGAAACUGGCAAGCUAGAGUCUUGUAGAGGGGGGUAGAAUUCCAGGUGUAGCGGUGAAAUGCGUAGAGAUCUGGAGGAAUACCGGUGGCGAAGGCGGCCCCCUGGACAAAGACUGACGCUCAGGUGCGAAAGCGUGGGGAGCAAACAGGAUUAGAUACCCCGGUAGU
rnacentral:rRNA from 1 species